rnacentral:rRNA from 1 species
GUAGGUGGCAAGCGUUGUCCGGAAUUAUUGGGCGUAAAGCGCGCGCAGGGCGGUCCUUUAAGUCUGAUGUGAAAGCCCACGGCUCAACCGUGGAGGGUCAUUGGAAACUGGGGGACUUGAGUACAGAAGAGGAAAGCGGAAUUCCAAGUGUAGCGGUGAAAUGCGUAGAGAUUUGGAGGAACGCCAGUGGCGAAGGCGGCUUUCUGGUCUGUAACUGACGCUGAGGCGCGAAAGCGUGGGGAGCAAACAGGAUUAGAUACCCUGGUAGUCCACGCCGUAAACGAUGAGUGCUAAGUGUUAGGGGGUUUCCGCCCCUUAGUGCUGCAGCUAACGCAUUAAGCACUCCGCCUGGGGAGUACGGCCGCAAGGCUG